rnacentral:rRNA from 1 species
AGCAGCCGCGGUAAUUCCAGCUCCAAUAGCGUAUAUUAAAGUUGUUGCAGUUAAAAAGCUCGUAGUUGAACUUCAGGCCUGGCUGGAUGGUCCGCCUUCUGGGUGAGUACUGUCUGUGGUCGGGUCCUACCUUCUGGCGAAGCGUCAUGGCCUUAACCGGCCGUGGCGGGGAGCCAGGACUUUUACUGUAGAAAAAUUAGAGUGUUCAAAGCAGGCACGCGCUUGAAUACAUUAGCAUGGAAUAAUGGAAUAGGACAGUGGUUCUAUUUGUUGGUUUCUAGGACCGUUGUAAUGAUUAAUAGGGAUAGUUGGGGGCAUUAGUAUUCAAUUGUCAGAGGUGAAAUUCUUGGAUUUAUUGAAGACUAACUACUGCGAAAGCAUUUGCCAAGGAUGUUUUCAUUAAUCAAGAACGAAAGUUAGGGGAUCGAAGACGAUCAGAUACCGUCGUAGUCUUAACCAUAAACUAUGCCGACUAGGAAUCGGGCGAUGUUGACAAAAUGACGCGCUCGGCACCU